GGUUGAUCCUGCCAGUAGUCAUAUGCUUGUCUCAAGGAUUAAGCCAUGCAUGUCUAAGUAUGAACCUUCAUACGGUGAAACUGCGAACGGCUCAUUACAACAGUCAUCAUUUACUUGGUCAUUGGAUUUACGUCCACCUACAUGGAUACCUGUCGGUAACACCAGAGCUAAUACAUGCACAAACUCCUCGGCCUUUUAGUGGGUGGGGAGGCAUUUAUUAGAUUCCACCUCCCGGCGCUUGCGCCGGUCGGGUGAUUCACAGUAAGUUUGCGAAUCGCUCAAUAGAGCGAUG
rnacentral:rRNA from 1 species